GAUGAACGCUAGCGGCAGGCCUAAUACAUGCAAGUCGGACGGGAUCCAUUGAUAGCUUGCUAUCAAUGGUGAGAGUGGCGCACGGGUGCGUAACGCGUGAGCAACCUGCCUCCAUCAGGGGGAUAGCCUCUCGAAAGAGAGAUUAACACCGCAUAAUAUCAACAGUUCGCAUGUUCAGUUGAUUAAAUAUUUAUAGGAUGGAGAUGGGCUCGCGUGACAUUAGCUAGUUGGUAGGGUAACGGCCUACCAAGGCGACGAUGUCUAGGGGCUCUGAGAGGAGCAUCCCCCACACUGGUACUGAGACACGGACCAGACGCCUACGGGAGGCAGCAGUAAGGAAUAUUGGUCAAUGGGCGGAAGCCUGAACCAGCCAUGCCGCGUGCAGGAUGACUGCCCUAUGGGUUGUAAACUGCUUUUGUCCAGGAAUAAACCUAAAUACGAGUAUUUAGCUGAAUGUACUGGAAGAAUAAGGAUCGGCUAACUCCGUG
rnacentral:rRNA from 1 species